rnacentral:rRNA from 1 species
AAGAGAGUGCAAGAGAACGUGAAACCGGUGUAAUGGAAGCAUAUGGAGUUGACGUAUCUGGUGCGUAUUCAGUUGUAGAGCGUUGUGAUUGCUGUGUAUGUUAUUCCGCAAGGUUGACUGCGCGGUAUUGUUGCGACGUUUUGCGAUGCAUUUACGUACGGAGUGCGCCGAGUUGCGCGGUGGUGUCAAUCGAAGACGGCUAAGAGGACAUGUCUUCGGAUGUGAAACCUUGACUGUUCGAGGUUGGUUGCUGCUGCGUUACUAUGUGGAGGCAUGGGAACUUUCGCGCGUUGGUGCGUUGAUUUGGUCGGUUUGUGUUGUACGCUUGCGUGCUGCGCUUAUGGGCUUGGUCGAUGUGUUAGUGUGCUCUAUGCUCUUCUCGGUGUAUAGUCAAUGACCCAUUUGACCCGUCUUGAAACACGGACCAAGGAGUUUAUGGUAUACGCGAGUCAUUGGGCUUUUAAACCCAAAGGCGUAAUGAAAGUGAGAUCUUAUUGGUUUUAAUGUGAUCGGCUGCUGUUUCGACGGCUACCGUGCAACAUUGCCCCGUUUCGAGAACUUGUUCUGUUGCGGAGGUUGAGCGUAUGCUAUGAGACCCGAAAGAUGGUGAACUAUGCCUGAACAGGAUGAAGCCAGAGGAAACUCUGGUGGAAGUCCGAAGCGGUUCUGACGUGCAAAUCGAUCGUCUGAUUUUGGUAUAGGGGCGCAAGACUAAUCGAACCAUC